rnacentral:rRNA from 1 species
AUUGAACGCUGGCGGCAGGCCUAACCCAUGCAAGUCGAGCGAGCGGCGGACGGGUGAGUCAUGUCUGGGAAACUGCCUGAUGGAGGGGGAUAACUACUGGAAACGGUAGCUAAUACCGCAUACCAUCAGAUGUGCCCAGAUGGGAUUAGCUAGUAGGUGGGGUAACGGCUCACGUAGGCGACGAUCCCUAGCUGGUCUGAGAGGCGGACCAGCCACACUGGAACUGAGACACGGUCCAUACUCCUACGGGAGGCAGCAGUGGGGAAUAUUGCACAAUGGGCGCAAGCCUGAUGCAGCCAUGCCGCGUGUGUGAAGAAGGCCUUCGGGUUGUAAAGCACUUUCAGCGGGGAGGCGUUACCCGCAGAAGAAGCACCGGCUAACUCCGUGCCAGCAGCCGCGGUAAUUC